GAAAGGAUUAAAGAAAUGCUGUCUGUACCUUUAAGCAAAACUGUUGGAAUGCUGCAAUCCAGGUAUCAGGAAUACAGACAUUAACAUAGAACAAUUGCACCGUUUAAGGGCAAUUGGUGAAGUAUUAGCCUUAGAUCGAUAAGAGUUAGUAAGGAAGUAGGAUAUGCAUGCUGUGCCCCAGGUGAAUUUUACUGUUUUGCUUUCUUUGUCCCUUUGUCUAAUUCCCACUCUUUUAUCUGUAUAAAUAAGACUGUUUGGGUCUUGCAUGGCCACUCACAUUAUCUGGGUGUUAUUGGUGGAGCGCUGCGCUAAUAAAACAGAGUGGUCUGACAAA